rnacentral:other from 1 species
GGCAGGCUGUCUGAUGCGUCUUAUCCGCAUGUCUAUCCGAGCCAACAGAAUUAUUUUUAGGGAACUGUCCCUGUUUGGAUUGCGAUCUUAAUAUAUGGUUCCCACUUUGACACAAGCGGUUCGAUAAGAAUGAAAGUUAAACGGUCAGACGGCUUGGCU